GUAGCAACCCAACAACAGGUUGUCUGAUUCAUCUGAAAAUUUCAGGGCAGAUAGAUCUUGACCUGAUAAACAAUAUUACCCAACUUCAGAUUUGCUCUAAAUGCUUUGGUUUUUGAGUUAUAAGCCAAAAACUGCAUUUGACCCCUAUGUUCUAUUUUUAGCAAUGGCGACCAUGUUUGUUGAUAGAUCAUAACUUCGGAUACAAUUACAAACUAGAUACCCUAAGGAAAAUUCAGUUAAAGUUUGGAAGUAUUUGGCCCAGUAGUUUCAGAGGAGAAGAUUUUUGUAAAAGAUUACUAAGAUUUACGAAAAAUGGUUAAAAAUUGACUAUAAAGGGCAAUAACUCCUAAAGGGGUCAACUGACCAUUUCCGUCAUGUUGACUUAUUUGUAAAACUUACUUUGCUGAACAUUAUUGCUGUUUACAGUUUAUCUCUAUCUAUAAUAAUAUUCAAGAUAAUAACCAAAAACAGCAAAAUUUCUUUAAAAUUACCAAUUCAGGGGCAGUAACCCAACAACAGGUUGUCUGAUUCAUCUGAAAAUUUCAGGGCAGAUAGAUCUUGACCUGAUAAACAAUAUUAUCCCAUGUCAGAUUUGCUCUAAAUGCUUUGGUUUUUGAGUUAUAAGCUAAAAACUGCAUUUGACCCAUAUGUUCUAUUUUUAGCAAUGGCGACCAUGUUUGUUGAUAGAUCACAACUUCGGAUACAAAUUACAAACUAGAUACCCUAAGGAACAUUCAGUUAAAGUUUGGAAGUAUUUGGCCCAGUAGUUUCAGAGGAGAAGAUUUUUGUAAAAGAUUACUAAGAUUUACGAAAAAUGGUUAAAAAUUGACUAUAAAGGGCAAUAACUCCUAAAGGGGUCAACUGACAUUUCCGUCAUGUUGACUUAUUUGUAAAUCUUACUUUGCUGAACAUUAUUUCUGUUUACAGUUUAUCUCUAUCUAUAAUAAUAUUCAAGAUAAUAACCAAAAC
rnacentral:lncRNA from 1 species